rnacentral:rRNA from 1 species
AGCGAACGCUGGCGGCAGGCUUAACACAUGCAAGUCGAACGCCCCUUUCGGGGGGAGUGGCAGACGGGUGAGUAACGCGUGGGAACGUGCCCAUCGGUUCGGGAUAACCCAGGGAAACUUGGGCUAAUACCGGAUACGACCGUGAGGUGAAAGAACUUCGCCGAUGGAUCGGCCCGCGUCUGAUUAGCUGGUUGGUAGGGUAACGGCCUACCAAGGCGACGAUCAGUAGCUGGUCUGAGAGGAUGAUCAGCCACACUGGGACUGAGACACGGCCCAGACUCCUACGGGAGGCAGCAGUGGGGAAUAUUGGACAAUGGGCGCAAGCCUGAUCCAGCCAUGCCGCGUGAGUGAUGAAGGCCCUAGGGUUGUAAAGCUCUUUCGCACGCGACGAUGAUGACGGUAGCGUGAGAAGAAGCCCCGGCUAACUUCGUGCCAGCCGCCGCCGUAAAAC